rnacentral:tRNA from 1 species
GCCUGGAUGGCUCAGUCGCUUGAGCGUCUGACUUCAGCUCAGGUCAUGGUCUCACAGUUCGUGGGUUGGAACCCCGCGACGGGCU